rnacentral:rRNA from 1 species
CCGCGGGAUUAGAGUUUGAUCCUGGCUCAGAACGAACGCUGGCGGCGCGCCUAACACAUGCAAGUCGAGCGCCCAGCAAUGGGAGCGGCGGACGGGUGAGUAACACGUGGGAACAUGCCUUUCGGUACGGAACAACUGCGGGAAACUGCAGCUAAUGCCGUAUACGCCCUUACGGGGAAAGAUUUAUCGCCGAAAGAUUGGCCCGCGUCUGAUUAGCUAGUUGGUGAGGUAACGGCUCACCAAGGCUUCGAUCAGUAGCUGGUUUGAGAGAACGACCAGCCACAUUGGGACUGAGACACGGCCCAAACUCCUACGGGAGGCAGCAGUGGGGAAUCUUGGACAAUGGGGGAAACCCUGAUCCAGCGAUGCCGCGUGAGUGAUGAAGGCCUUCGGGUUGUAAAACUCUUUCGACGGGGACGAUAAUGACGGUACCCGUAGAAGAAGCUCCGGCUAACUUCGUGCCAGCAGCCGCGGUAAUACGAAGGGGGCUAGCGUUGUUCGGAAUUACUGGGCGUAAAGCGCGCGCAGGCGGCCAUUCAAGUCAGGGGUGAAAGCCCAGAGCUCAACUCUGGAACUGCCCUUGAAACUGCAUGGCUUGAGUACGAGAGAGGUGAGUGGAAUUCCCAGUGUAGAGGUGAAAUUCGUAGAUAUUGGGAAGAACACCGGUGGCGAAGGCGGCUCACUGGCUCGUUACUGACGCUCAGGCGCGACAGCGUGGGGAUCAAACAGGAUUAGAUACCCUGGUAGUCCACGCCGUAAACUAUGAACGCUAGCCGUUAGGCAGCUUGCUGCUUAGUGGCGCAGCUAACGCAUUAAGCGUUCCGCCUGGGGAGUACGGCCGCAAGGUUGAAACUC